rnacentral:rRNA from 1 species
AGAGUUUGAUCCUGGCUCAGGACGAACGCUGGCGGCGCGCCCAACACAUGCAAGUCGAACGGAGAAUGCAGGACUGAAGCCUUCGGGCAGAUGGCUUGUAUUCUUAGUGGCGGACGGGUGAGUAACACGUGAGCAACCUGCCUUCAAGAGGGGGAUAGCACCUGGAAACGGGUGGUAAUACCGCAUAAGACCACAGUGUUGCAUGGCACAGAGGUCAAAGGAGCAAUCCGCUUGAAGGUGGGCUCGCGUCCGAUUAGAUAGUUGGUGAGGUAACGGCUCACCAAGUCGACGAUCGGUAGCCGGACUGAGAGGUUGAACGGCCACAUUGGGACUGAGACACGGCCCAGACUCCUACGGGAGGCAGCAGUGGGGGAUAUUGCACAAUGGGCGAAAGCCUGAUGCAGCGACGCCGCGUGAGGGAAGACGGCCUUCGGGUUGUAAACCUCUGUCAUUCGGGACGAAUUAGAUGACGGUACCGAAGAAGGAAGCUCCGGCUAACUACGUGCCAGCAGCCGCGGUAAUACGUAGGGAGCGAGCGUUGUCCGGAAUUACUGGGUGUAAAGGGAGCGUAGGCGGGAAAGCAAGUUGGAAGUGAAAUGCAUGGGCUUAACCCAUGAGCUGCUUUCAAAACUGUUUUUCUUGAGUGAAGUAGAGGCAGGCGGAAUUCCUAGUGUAGCGGUGAAAUGCGUAGAUAUUAGGAGGAACACCAGUGGCGAAGGCGGCCUGCUGGGCUUUAACUGACGCUGAGGCUCGAAAGCGUGGGUAGCAAACAGGAUUAGAUACCCUGGCAGUCCACGCUGUAAACGAUGAUUACUAGGUGUGGGGGAUUUCGGUCCUCCGUGCCGGAGCAAACGCAAUAAGUAAUCCACCUGGGGAGUACGGCCGCAAGGCUGAAACCCAAAGGAAUUGACGGGGGCCCGCACAAGCGGAGGAACAUGUGGUUUAAUUCGAUGAUACGCGAGGAACCUUACCCGGGCUUGAAUUGCAGAGGAAGGAUUUGGAGACAAUGACGCCCUUCGGGGCCUCUGUGAAGGUGCUGCAUGGUUGUCGUCAGCUCGUGCCGUGAGGUGUCGGCUUAAGUGCCAUAACGAGCGCAACCCCUCUCCAUAGUUGCCAUCAGGUGAAGCUGGGCACUCUGUGGACACUGCCACCGUAAGGUGCGAGGAAGGUGGGGAUGACGUCAAAUCAGCACGGCCCUUACGUCCGGGGCUACACACGUGUUACAAUGGCAGGUACAGAGAGCCGGUCGUAUGCAAAUACGAUCCAAUCCUUAAAGCCUGUCUCAGUUCGGACUGGGGUCUGCAACCCGACCCCACGAAGCUGGAUUCGCUAGUAAUCGCGCAUCAGCCAUGGCGCGGUGAAUACGUUCCCGGGCCUUGUACACACCGCCCGUCAAGCCAUGAAAGCCGGGGGCGCCUGAAGUCCGUGACCGCAAGGAGCGGCCUAGGGCGAAACUGGUAAUUGGGGCUAAGUCGUAACAAGGUA